GACGAACGCUGGCGGCGUGCCUAAUACAUGCAAGUUGAGCGCUGAAGGUUGGUACUUGUACCAACUGGAUGAGCAGCGAACGGGUGAGUAACGCGUGGGGAAUCUGCCUUUGAGCGGGGGACAACAUUUGGAAACGAAUGCUAAUACCGCAUAAAAACUUUAAACACAAGUUUUAAGUUUGAAAGAUGCAAUUGCAUCACUCAAAGAUGAUCCCGCGUUGUAUUAGCUAGUUGGUGAGGUAAAGGCUCACCAAGGCGAUGAUACAUAGCCGACCUGAGAGGGUGAUCGGCCACAUUGGGACUGCGACACGGCCCAAACUCCUACGGGAGGCAGCAGUAGGGAAUCUUCGGCAAUAGACGAAAGUCUGACCGAGCAACGCCGCGUGAGUGAAGAAGGUUUUCGGAUCGUAAAACUCUGUUGGUAGAGAAGAACGUUGGUGAGAGUGGAAAGCUCAUCAAGUGACGGUAACUACCCAGAAAGGGACGGCUAACUACGUG
rnacentral:rRNA from 1 species